UACAGAGGUCUAAAGCGUUGUUCGGAUUCAUUGGGCGUAAAGGGGGUGUAGGUGGCGCGCUAAGUCGGGUGUGAAAUUUCGGAGCUUAACUCCGAAACUGCAUUCGAUACUGGCGUGCUUGAGGACUGGAGAGGAGACUGGAAUUCAUGGUGUAGCAGUGAAAUGCGUAGAGAUCAUGAGGAAGACCAGUGGCGAAGGCGGGUCUCUGGACAGUUCCUGACACUGAGGCACGAAGGUCAGGGGAGCAAACGGG
rnacentral:rRNA from 1 species